rnacentral:sRNA from 1 species
GCUGGGCAUUGUGGUGCACAUCUGUAAUCCCAGUGGCUUGGGAGGCUGAGGCAGGAGGAUCACGAGUUCAAAGCCAGCCUCAGCAACUUGGCAAAGUCUUAAACAACUUAGUGAGACCCUGUCUCUA